rnacentral:rRNA from 1 species
AGCCAACGCUGGCGGCAGGCCUAACACAUGCAAGUCGAACGAAGCCUUCGGGCUUAGUGGCGGACGGGUGAGUAACACGUGGGAACGUACCUUUUGGUUCGGAAUAACGCAGAGAAAUUUGCGCUAAUACCGGAUGAGCCCUUCGGGGGAAAGAUUUAUCGCCGAAAGAUCGGCCCGCGUUGGAUUAGGUAGUUGGUGUGGUAAAGGCGCACCAAGCCUACGAUCCAUAGCUGGUCUGAGAGGAUGAUCAGCCACACUGGGACUGAGACACGGCCCAGACUCCUACGGGAGGCAGCAGUGGGGAAUCUUGUGCAAUGGGCGAAAGCCUGACGCAGCCAUGCCGCGUGAAUGAUGAGGGUCUUAGGAUUGUAAAAUUCUUUUACCAGGGACGAUAAUGACGGUACCUGGAGAAAAAGCCCCGGCUAACUUCGUGCCAGCCGCCGCGGUAACAC